GGCGAACGGGUGAGUAAUACAUCGGAACGUGCCCAGUCGUGGGGGAUAACGUAGCGAAAGUUACGCUAAUACCGCAUACGAUCUACGGAUGAAAGCGGGGGAUCGCAAGACCUCGCGCGAUUGGAGCGGCCGAUGUCAGAUUAGGUUGUUGGUGAGGUAAAGGCUCACCAAGCCGACGAUCUGUAGCUGGUCUGAGAGGACGACCAGCCACACUGGGACUGAGACACGGCCCAGACUCCUACGGGAGGCAGCAGUGGGGAAUUUUGGACAAUGGACGAAAGUCUGAUCCAGCCAUUCCGCGUGCAGGACGAAGGCCUUCGGGUUGUAAACUGCUUUUGUACGGAACGAAAAAGCCUUGGCUAAUACCCAGGGUCCAUGACGGUACCGUAAGAAUAAGCACCGGCUAACUACGUGCCAGCAGCCGCGGUAAUACGUAGGGUGCGAGCGUUAAUCGGAAUUACUGGGCGUAAAGCGUGCGCAGGCGGUUUUGUAAGACAGAGGUGAAAUCCCCGGGCUCAACCUGGGAACUGCCUUUGUGACUGCAAGGCUAGAGUGCGGCAGAGGGGGAUGGAAUUCCGCGUGUAGCAGUGAAAUGCGUAGAUAUGCGGAGGAACACCGAUGGCGAAGGCAAUCCCCUGGGCCUGCACUGACGCUCAUGCACGAAAGCGUGGGGAGCAAACAGGAUU
rnacentral:rRNA from 1 species